CCUCUUUCAGGGUCACAGCUGGAGAGUUUCCACUCCUCUACCAGCCUCGGCUACGGGAGGGAGAGUCAAGCUGAGGUCUACCCAUUCCAUUCCUAGCUUGGCCAGUGGUUAGCGAGUGGAAGGCCAUCUGCUACAAGU